rnacentral:rRNA from 1 species
UACGAAGGGGGCUAGCGUUGUUCGGAUUUACUGGGCGUAAAGCGCACGUAGGCGGGUCGUUAAGUCGAGGGUGAAAUCCUGGAGCUCAACUCCAGAACUGCCUUCGAUACUGGCGACCUAGAGUCCGGAAGAGGUGAGUGGAACUCCUAGUGUAGAGGUGGAAUUCGUAGAUAUUGGGAAGAACACCAGUGGCGAAGGCGGCUCACUGGCCCGAUACUGACGCUGAGGCACGAAAGCGUGGGGAGCAAACAGGG